GUCAUAGCCCUAAACGAUGAUUGCUUGGUGUGAUCGGUACCCAAUCCGAUCGUGCCGCAGCUAACGCGAUAAGGCAAUCCGCCUGGGGGAGUACGGUCGCAAGGCUGGAAACUCAAAAGGGAAUUGACGGGGGGCCCGCACAAGCGGUGGAGCAUGUGGUUCAAUUCGACGCAACGCGAAGAACCUUACCUGGGGCUCGAAGCGCAGUGGACCGGGGUGGAAACAUCCCUUUCGCAAGGACUGCUGCGUAGGUGCUGCAUGGCUGUCGU
rnacentral:rRNA from 1 species